GACGGAGGAGGCAAGCGUUAUCCGGAAUUACUGGGCGUAAAGGGUACGUAGGCGGCUGGUCAAGUCUGGGGUCAACGGCCACAGCUCAACUGUGGGAAGGCCCUGGAAACUGACUGGCUAGAGUGAGGUAGGGGUUGCGGGAAUUCCCGGUGUAGCGGUGAAAUGCGUAGAGAUCGGGAAGAACACCUGAGGCGGAAGCGCGCAACUGGGCCUCAACUGACGCUGAGGUACGAAAGCUAGGGGAGCGAAUGGG
rnacentral:rRNA from 1 species